rfam:Peptococcaceae bacterium BRH_c23 BRHa_1000560, whole genome shotgun sequence.
UAAGCGAGUAGCCUACCAAACUUCGCGAAAAGCAGGCAGCGGAGACGAGUUGGAAACAAGGACGUUUCCAACCGGCAACUGAGCCAGGGAUGGCGAAUUGCCGGGAACUCGUCGGAGCGGACGGCUUUGCGCGUUAGUUUGGUCUACGCAGCUU